rnacentral:rRNA from 1 species
GGGUUGUGAGGUUAAGCGACUAAGCGUACACGGUGGAUGCCUAGGCAAUCAGAGGCGAUGAAGGACGUGCUAAUCUGCGAAAAGCGUCGGUAAGGUGAUAUGAACCGUUAUAACCGACGAUGUCCGAAUGGGGAAACCCAGUGCAAUUCGUUGCACUAUCGUUUGAUGAAUCCAUAGUCAAACGAGGCGAACCGGGGGAACUGAAACAUCUCAGUACCCCGAGGAAAAGAAAUCAACCGAGAUUCCCCUAGUAGCGGCGAGCGAACGGGGAGCAGCCCAGAGUCUUAAUCAGCAUCAGCAUCAGGAGAACGGUCUGGAAAGGCCGGCAAUAAAGGGUGAUAGCCCCGUAUCCGAAGGUGUUGGUGUUGUGAACUCGACGAGUAGGGCGGGACACGUGUUAUCCUGUCUGAAUAUGGGGGGACCAUCCUCCAAGGCUAAAUACUCCUGAUUGACCGAUAGUGAACCAGUACCGUGAGGGAAAGGCGAAAAGAACCCCGGCGAGGGGAGUGAAAUAGAACCUGAAACCGUGUACGUACAAGCAGUGGGAGCCUUGAUUUAUCAGGGUGACUGCGUACCUUUUGUAUAAUGGGUCAGCGACUUAUAUUCUGUAGCAAGGUUAACCGAAUAGGGGAGCCGUAGGGAAACCGAGUCUUAACUGGGCGAAUGAGUUGCAGGGUAUAGACCCGAAACCCGGUGAUCUAGCCAUGGGCAGGUUGAAGGUUGGGUAACACUAACUGGAGGACCGAACCGACUAAUGUUGAAAAAUUAGCGGAUGACUUGUGGCUGGGGGUGAAAGGCCAAUCAAACCGGGAGAUAGCUGGUUCUCCCCGAAAGCUAUUUAGGUAGCGCCUCGUGAACUCAUCUUCGGGGGUAGAGCACUGUUUCGGCUAGGGGGUCAUCCCGACUUACCAACCCGAUGCAAACUACGAAUACCGAAGAAUGUUAUCACGGGAGACACACGGCGGGUGCUAACGUUCGUCGUGAAGAGGGAAACAACCCAGACCGCCAGCUAAGGUCCCAAAGUCAUGGUUAAGUGGGAAACGAAGUGGGAAGGCUCAGACAGCCAGGAUGUUGGCUUAGAAGCAGCCAUCAUUUAAAGAAAGCGUAAUAGCUCACUGGUCGAGUCGGCCUGCGCGGAAGAUGUAACGGGGCUAAACCAUGCACCGAAGCUGCGGCAGCGACAUGUAAAUGUUGUUGGGUAGGGGAGCGUUCUGUAAGCCUGUGAAGGUGUGCUGCGAGGCAUGCUGGAGGUAUCAGAAGUGCGAAUGCUGACAUAAGUAACGAUAAUGCGGGUGAAAAACCCGCACGCCGGAAGACCAAGGGUUCCUGUCCAACGUUAAUCGGGGCAGGGUGAGUCGACCCCUAAGGCGAGGCAGAAAUGCGUAGUCGAUGGGAAACAGGUUAAUAUUCCUGUACUGGUGAUAAUUGCGAUGGGGGGACGGAGAAGGCUAGGCUGGCCGGGCGACGGUUGUCCCGGUUUAAGGAUGUAGGUGGGCGAAUUAGGCAAAUCCGGUUCGCUAUACACUGAGGUCUGAUGACGAGUCACUACGGUGGCGAAGUAGCUCAUGCCCCGCUUCCAGGAAAAGCCUCUAAGCUCUAGAUUAUCAUUAAUCGUACCCCAAACCGACACAGGUGGUCAGGUAGAGAAUACUCAGGCGCUUGAGAGAACUCGGGUGAAGGAACUAGGCAAAAUGGUGCCGUAACUUCGGGAGAAGGCACGCUGGCACUAGGUGAAGUCCCUUGCGGAUGGAGCUGAAGCCAGUCGCAGAUACCAGCUGGCUGCAACUGUUUAUUAAAAACACAGCACUGUGCAAACACGAAAGUGGACGUAUACGGUGUGACGCCUGCCCGGUGCUGGAAGGUUAAUUGAUGGGGUUAUCCGUAAGGAGAAGCUCUUGAUCGAAGCCCCAGUAAACGGCGGCCGUAACUAUAACGGUCCUAAGGUAGCGAAAUUCCUUGUCGGGUAAGUUCCGACCUGCACGAAUGGCGUAAUGAUGGCCAGGCUGUCUCCACCCGAGACUCAGUGAAAUUGAACUCGCUGUGAAGAUGCAGUGUACCCGCGGCAAGACGGAAAGACCCCGUGAACCUUUACUAUAGCUUGACACUGAACAUUGAGCCUUGAUGUGUAGGAUAGGUGGGAGGCUUUGAAGUGUGGACGCCAGUCUGCAUGGAGCCAACCUUGAAAUACCACCCUUUAAUGUUUGAUGUUCUAACGUUGCCCCGUGAUCCGGGGUGCGGACAGUGUCUGGUGGGUAGUUUGACUGGGGCGGUCUCCUCCCAAAGCGUAACGGAGGAGCACGAAGGUUGGCUAAGCAUGGUCGGACAUCAUGCGGUUAGUGCAAAGGCAUAAGCCAGCUUGACUGCGAGAGUGACGGCUCGAGCAGGUACGAAAGUAGGUCUUAGUGAUCCGGUGGUUCUGAAUGGAAGGGCCAUCGCUCAACGGAUAAAAGGUACUCCGGGGAUAACAGGCUGAUACCGCCCAAGAGUUCAUAUCGACGGCGGUGUUUGGCACCUCGAUGUCGGCUCAUCACAUCCUGGGGCUGAAGUAGGUCCCAAGGGUAUGGCUGUUCGCCAUUUAAAGUGGUACGCGAGCUGGGUUUAGAACGUCGUGAGACAGUUCGGUCCCUAUCUGCCGUGGGCGUUGGAAGAUUGAAAGGGGCUGCUCCUAGUACGAGAGGACCGGAGUGGACGCACCGCUGGUGUUCGGGUUGUCAUGCCAAUGGCACUGCCCGGUAGCUAAGUGCGGAAGAGAUAACCGCUGAAAGCAUCUAAGCGGGAAACUUGCCUUGAGAUGAGUCUUCCCUGACUCUUUAAGGGUCCUAAAGGAACGUUUAAGACGAAGACGUUGAUAGGCUGGGUGUGUAAGCGUAGCGAUACGUUGAGCUAACCAGUACUAAUGAACCGUGAGGCUUAACCUGACAACACCGAAGGUGUUUUAG